AGCGAACGUUUGCGGCGGGCCUAACACAUGCAAGUCGAACGGGCAGUCCCUUCGGGGGCUGUCAGUGGCGCACGGGUGCGUAACACGUAGGUAAUCAACCCUCGGGUUCGGGAUAACACUUCGAAAGGGGUGCUAAUACCGGAUGCGACGAGCGUCUCCUCGGAGAUGCACGGGAAAGAUCCGCAAGGGUCGCCCGAGGACGAGCCUGCGGCCCAUCAGCUUGUUGGUGAGGUAAUGGCUCACCAAGGCUAAGACGGGUAGCUGGUCUGAGAGGAUGAUCAGUCACACUGGAACUGAGACACGGUCCAGACUCCUACGGGAGGCAGCAGUGGGGAAUAUUGCGCAAUGGGCGAAAGCCUGACGCAGCCACGCCGCGUGAGCGAUGAAGGCCUUCGGGUCGUAA
rnacentral:rRNA from 1 species